rnacentral:rRNA from 1 species
GCAGCGCUCCCUCCCCCCUUUAUUAGGCCGUUAAGCUAGGUGGAGGAUCGAUUUCCCACUGAAUGAACCGUCGAUGUUGACUAGGUUAUGUACGCACGGAUGAGGCUGAUAAUCCAGGCAGCAGCACUGAUUAGUGUGAUUCAGGCAUGGGUCAUGUUCAUGCACCAAAGAGCUGUUCGUCGUGCUGGGAGACCUUUGGUCCGCUAUGGUCCAUUGUUUCCCCGGGAACAGGAGAGUAUCCAAAAUCUAAACUACAUCUACAACUGCAAUGACGUCGAGGCUUUGUGGAUGCUUAGAAUGAAAAGAGCACCAUUUGCCAGGCUUGUCGAGACCUUCAGGAGCAGGGGCCUGUUACAAGAUAGCAUCAACACUAGUGUCGAAGAGCAAGUGGUCAUGUUCCUCCAUGUUGUUGGCCAUAACCAGAGGUUCUGGGUCAUUCACAACACGUUCAGGGGAUCAAUGGAGACCAUCUCUAGGUACUUCAAGCAAGUGCUUUUUGCUGUUGGGGAGCUUAGAGGAGAGAUGAUCAGGAGACCAUCUGGCCAGACUCCACCCAAGAUUCGCGGAACCCAAGAUGGUAUCCUACUUCAAGGUGAGCAUUGA